rnacentral:tRNA from 1 species
ACGGCAGUGGUCUAGUGGUUUGAUUCGAGCUUCCCAAGCUUGAGGUCCGGGUUCGAUGGCCGUUAAAUUUCGCAAGAAAGUUAUGGCUGGAAAGUCCCGGCUGCCGUA